ACUUUUAUAGGAUAACAGUAAUCCCCUAGCCUU
rnacentral:tRNA from 1 species